rnacentral:rRNA from 1 species
GACGAACGCUGGCGGCGUGCUUAACACAUGCAAGUCGAACGAUGAAGCUGGAGCUUGCUCUGGCGGAUUAGUGGCGAACGGGUGAGUAACACGUGAGAAAUCUGCCCUUGACUCUGGGAUAACUGCGGGAAACUGUAGCUAAUACCGGAUACUUUCCCUGGUGGGCAUCCACUGGGGAAGAAAGAAUUUCGGUCAAGGAUGAUCUCGCGGCCUAUCAGCUUGUUGGCGAGGUAAUGGCUCACCAAGGCGACGACGGGUAGCCGGCCUGAGAGGGUGACCGGCCACACUGGGACUGAGACACGGCCCAGACUCCUACGGGAGGCAGCAGUGGGGAAUAUUGCACAAUGGGCGCAAGCCUGAUGCAGCAACGCCACGUGAGGGAUGAAAGCCUUCGGGUUGUAAACCUCUUUUAGCAGGGAAGAAGCGAAAGUGACGGUACCUGCAGAAAAAGCACCGGCUAACUACGUGCCAGCCGCCGCCGUAA